UGAGGUUGUAGCUCAGUUGGUAGAGUGCUUGCCUAGCAUGCUGAAGAACCUGGGUUCGAUCCCCAGCACCUCAU